AGACAUUGCAGGUGCGAUAGAAAAGCACAAUAUGUACUGCAGUUGUUUUUAUCAUGAUGAUCCUCAGCUGGGCAACAAAAACAAUAACAACGGUGUUGGGGCGGCCAGUGGCAAUGUUUCCACCUACUGGGGAUUCCAGCUGUAAGGUCCAGUGAAUUUACUUUCUACCAAUCGUGACACAAGACUAUGGUAGCCUGCUAAGCUAAAGCCUAGACAUCAGCUCAGGGAGCUACCACAAGUCCUCAGGUCUCAGACAAGGUAACUCAUCACGCGAGGGUCACAAGCUCAUCAUGUAUGUAUAUUUUGUAAUCAGCUGCUCCUCAUUCUGUGCCACUGGUUUUGCUCAGCACAGCAGUUGAUGUUGAAGCUGUGCCUCAGGCCACAGUACAUGUGUUACUGCCUGUGUGCAAACAGCAAGGCUGAUGUGUCAGGGCAGUCACCCCAUGUCAACUCCAACACAUGGGAGAGAUCACUAUAAAACACUGUUGGAUGAGAGAAGCGUUCAUGUCUGGAAAAUUGCUGCCGCAGCAAGAAGAUUGAUCAGAUCAGAUUGGAGCCAAACAUCGUAUUUCCAUUCACCUACAAUUCAAAUUGACUACCGGCAGUAAGACCAGGGGGCACAGCUGCUGUCAGAAUACCAUUUAUACCAUUUCAAGAUCAAGUGAAAAAUUGGUGGUAAAUAUCCACAGAUGUACUGACGUCUCUGUCAUGAAUAUAAGUGUGAGAGGGACUCUGCGGUCUGGUAGAGUCGGUGGAGCUUGAGGGAGACGACACACGAGUGAGAGGCAGGGAGAUUUACAGGCCCUGCAGGGUAGAGCUGAGCCAACUCUACCUGGAGGAAGCCUCUGGCACUGACAGGCUCCUGGCUGGAGCUCCUGGCUGGGGCUCCUGGCUGGGACUCCUGGAGGCUAACCAAUCACUAGAACACAGAGCAGCCAACAUGGAGAACACUCAGUAUGAUUUAAACAUUUAGCCUGUGAGGGGUAAGAUAAGUCUGAAAACAGUGGUGUGUUGUUGAAUGUGUAAUAUGGAUGUAGGUUGACCUCCGGUAGGUAACACCUCUGGUCUGUUUCUACUUAGGUCUUAGAAGCAGUGGUCUUAUUUGAAACAGAAAUUGUUAUACAAAGUAUUCACUGGGUAAUGUUUCGAAUUCACCACAUCAAUUUAAAUAUUUUUGCAAAACAGGAAAUAUUUUCAGACCUGCUAGAGAACAUUUGUGGGUUUCGCAAUACGAGAAAGUGAUAUUUUCCUCACCAAAGUGUUUCCAGCACAUAUUUAGGUGGAUAUAAAUAAUCUGCUGUUUCUCUGUAUCUUUCCUUACCAGAACACAUAACCCUACUUACCAUCUGAACAGAAGUGCUCAGGGACCACAGGGUUUUUACUGGGAUUGUUUUAUUGUUCACGGUGUGUUUCCUCUAAACCUACCGACUGGGUUCGUCUCAGUGCUGAUGUCAUCUCUGGUUUCUGUUAGGAUAGAAAGCAAUCAUUCAGAUAUUUUUCAAUAAUAUAGGUUCAGUAGUUAAAGAAUUCUGCUGUGGAUCUUCAUUUUUGUAAAGCCGUAGUUUGGAAUCAUGGUAGAAUAGAAGCCAGAUGAACCUCUACUCUUGGCUUCAUCAGUACCAUUGGGUCUACCAUUGACAUGCUCCAUACUGUCCAAGUCCUGCUGUUCUCUGGCUGUGUCCAACACUCCAUUCACUACACCCCUACAACUACCCCUACGUAGGGCCUGCUCCGUGGCUGUGCCUGUGACCUCUUGGCUUUGGAUAUCUCUAUCUCUACUGUUUAGACUUGUAUUCUCAUCAUUUUCACCUCCAUUGACUGUAGUCCCCUGCUCUCCGGGCAUACAGACAGUACCCUGACAGCCCACCAUCACAUCCUCUUCACUGUUGAGAUCAAUGAGCACUCUGCUGGUUCUCUCUCUCCCCACUGUGGGGUCCCUCUGAGUCUCUCUAUCCAGCUCCUCGCUCCCAUUGGUUGGAUCCUGCCUGGUGGUUGUCUGCAUGCUGUCGACAUGGUCUGGGUUUAUGGUUCUCCUUCCUGGAGGUUGUUUGUAUUUUCUCACAUCACUUGGAGGAGAACUGUCAGUCUCGUCGCUGCUACUGUCGUCUGUCACUGUAUUGGGGAUGAAGAGUCGGUUAGAACUGUCAACUGAUUCCAUUUUGAAUUUACUCUUUGUACGAAAAUCUAUGGAUAUGAAUAAGUGCUAUUGGUUUAAAACGUUUUUAUUCUAAGUAUGUUAAUUCUAUGUUUGAUUAAAUACACUGUUGGCCAAGGACUUCAUCUAGUAGAUAAUGACAUAUCUUGAAUCUCAGUAGAGGGUUUGGCGGCUGCUACAACCACAUGAUUUUUUCCGUCUCUGUUGCUGUCCUACAACAAGACAAGCCCAGGUGAUGUCAUGUUCAGUCUCUUACAUAGUGUUAGUUACAUGUCUAUGGGAUGUAAUUAUAAGAGGCUGGAAUUCUGACCCGCAGAAUUAGAAUCCUGUGUUACCUUCUGCAUUUCUGUUUGAGGUAAAAACAGUGACGCUACAUCAAUUAUCUAGCUACCAUUUCUUUACAUUGGUGUAAAACAUGACAUACCAGUUUGUGUAAUCUUUGUAUUAGAUCCCAGAGAGUCAUCAUAAUCCUCUGAAGAAAGAAAGAAAGAAAGAAAGAGAGAGAUAGAGAGAGAGAGAGAAAGAGAUAAGAGAGAAAUAAAAAGAGAGAGAGAGAAUCAGAAUUGGUAUGGCCGUAACAGUCUAUGAAAUCAAUAUUACCAGAUUCAUUUUCCCCUACGGAUAUUUCAGUGACAGAUUAUUUUGAUAUUUAAUAUACCUCUGCUUUCUGCUGAGUUACUUUCAGAUCGUUCUGCAUCUGUGGGACAUUGAAUAAAACAACUCUGAAAAUGAUAUUGAAACUUCCUAUAUAGCAUUAUUUUCAAACCAUAUUCCACACACCUGUAAGAUCAUCGGAGUUGCAUUUCUCUUUGGAUCUGGCAUCUGAGUCUACAACAUCUGAUACAUGAUCAGAUAAUGAUCAAUAACACAAAAAACACAUGAUCAACCACAUAUCAAUAACACUAACUACUUACUAUUGAUAACUUCCCAGCUCAACCUUCCCCACACUAACCUGUUAAACAAGCAGAGUUUUCAGUCUGCGUAACAUUUGAGAUUUCUGGAAGACAAAUGAUUGCGGAGUAAUGAUUCACAUAAUGUAACAUUGAUUUCAUUAUAUUUCACAACAAAGUUUGACCGUUUGAUUAUAAACUAAACGUAAUUUUAAAAAACUACCUGCAGAGUUCUCUGUUGGUCUUAAAGGACUUGGUCUUGCUGUUGAACACAGUAAUAAAUUAGGUCAACAUAGCAAUAACAGAUGCUAGUUAGAAACAUUUCCCUCAAACAUCAACAUCUACUUUCACUAACCAGGGGUUGGAGCUGGUUUACCAAAGGUGUUUUCAGGACCUGGGGAAAGUAGAAAAGAAAGAUGGCAGAUCGAGUUAAUGAUUUUAAAAGUAACAAAAUGAGGAUAGAUAAAUAAAUAUAUAAGUGUGAAGAACAGACCUUUGAUUUUUCCUGAGGUGCUUUGAGUAGCGGGAGCAACAUCAAGGGCACCUGUAACAACAUCUGAGAAUGAGCUACCUAACCAACAGCUUAUUAGACUCUCACCACCUCUGAUCAUUUUUUGAAAAUGUGAUUUCUCCAUCAAGACUAACAACUGUUUGGGUCUCAUCAACACAAGACAAUAAAUAGGUGCAUUAGCAUGUAGCCAACCAUCUCACCAUUCAAAAAGCUUAACACAUCCUCACUUCUGUCUGAAAGGGAAACAGGACUAUUAUUAACUGAUUGAAUCACAAUAACCUCAGUAAUAUCAUGUCAUAUUACUGUAUCAGACCUUUUCACCACAGCAAUAAAAGCAAGUUGUUUUUGGCCAGUGUAUGACACGCUGAACAAUUCACUGGAAAAGCUUACUGGAGCAAAUCGACAUAGGCUGAUAUAUGAUCCUUGUUUAGGUGAUAUAUGAUCCUUGUUUAGGUGAUAUAUGAUCCUUGUUUAGGUGAUAUAUGAUCCUUGUUUAGGGUAAAUGAAGCUUACCUUUCAUUGGUACCAUGAACACAACAGCCACUAGCGUCAGAACUGACAGAGAACACAGGGAGCUACGAGAAAAAUAAAGAGCAUUGGCCUUUUCAGUUGUCCAGUUGACUAGGUAUCCCCCCAUUCCCUUCCCUUUUAUAACGAAGAUAGUUGUUCAGUUGACUAGGUAUCCCCCCAUUCCCUUCCCUUUUAUAAAGAAGAUAGUUGUACAGUUGACUAGGUAUCCCCCCAUUCCCUUCCCUUUUAUAAAGAAGAUAGUUGUACAGUUGACUAGGUAUCCCCCCAUUCCCUUCCCUUUUAUAAAGAAGAUAGUUGUACAGUGUUAAAUCUAAUGCUUUGUAAGACUAAGUCAAGACAACGCACAACAUUUCAAUUAAAUGUUACAUGACCUAAAUGUUACAUUGUUAAAAAGAAUAUAUCAAUCAAAGAGGCCAUGAUGCAAUAAAAAAGUGACUUACAGCUCCAUGAUGGGUGGAAGUCAUCACACGAGUCCUCUAUCUCUUUGUUAAAAGACCCAUCAGAGGUUUUAUACCUGUCCUUAUAGCUGAUUGGCUGGAACCACAGAGACAAUAGACACAGACCCACUUCUAUGAGAUAGAAUGGGGGCUGUGUCAGGUGUCUCUGCAGGAAACAGUGCAUGACCGUGGGAAUGUUUUAAGAUUGAGGAAUCAGAUGAGCAUUUAAACAAAAAGGUUUACAGUUGACAAAUGACUCAUUAUAAUAUCAGUCGACAAACAACCCACCGACUUAGAAGACAAAUACUCCCAAGAUGUGACUGUUCAUUCAAGAGGUGUACAAAACAAAGACCUUCUCUUUCUAGACUAUGUUGAUUAUAGGUGACUGGUUGUGUGGUCAGUGAUGCAAACAAAACGUGCCUCUGGCAUUUCCUUCUCAUUGUUACAGCGAUUUAGAAGAGGGUGGGCCUACACAAUGAGUGGAUUC
ensembl:lncRNA